CUGGAAUCCUAGGAGGGUGGAGAACCUCCCAGCCAUUUAACAGCCUGAGGACAUGGUCUAGCUUAGAGGGAAAAGGCAGCUCCUGCCUCUGGCUCCUGGGAGCUCCCAAGCCUCUGUCAAGCUGAUGAAGAUGAAAUUCUCAAGUACCAAAAAUCACCCUCAAAAUGGGCGGGCCUCGAAUGUCACAAUGCCCUCAGGAAGGAGGCCUGGUCCGGGCAACCGCUCAGCAAACAAGCCAGCACCGACGGGAUGGCAGAAGGGGCCACUUUGCAGGAGCUGGGGGGUAAGGGCAGAAGGGGCAGAGGUGGAAGGGUCAGGCCACCAGCAAAGGGCUCCUGGACAAGGCUGGGGACUCGGAGCUGCGGUGAACUGGGGUACCCUGCUAACACUAGAAGAAAGUAGCAGCUGCCGAUCUUGCCCAGGAAGUCCCAUGUUCAUCCAUUCUCCCAAGGAAAUGCAUUCUACAAUUUGA
rnacentral:lncRNA from 1 species